AGGCUAUGUUGGACCGUGGACUAAAUCCGGCAUUAGCGUGGAUGAAAAGAUGAUGAAAACAUGUUCGAAAAUAUGUUCGGAGAGUUUCGGUUCGAUUUGAAAUGAAUCGGAGGUCAAACGAGCGAAAAUGAGCGAAAACGGAGUGAAAACGGACGAAGGCUGAAAAUGCUGAAAAAUUGGCUAAGUCUGGAGAUUUGGUCCUUCGGGGACCGGU
rnacentral:lncRNA from 1 species